CACAUGUCACUGCAAGACUUCAUUACCCACUUGCCAGCACACACGUAUACCAGGAAGACUUACAGUGGGUGGUGACCUUCUAGAAAGUGGCUGUGCAUUUCACCAAGGAAGAGUGGGCUCUGCUGGACCCUGCUCAGAGAGCCCUCUACAGAGACGUCAUGCAGGAGAACUAUGAGAAUAUCGCAUCGCUGGGUAAGAAUUCCUGUCCCAUCAGUUAUUAAUAAUUGUGGGGGCUUGCUUUUAAGUUUUCUCAUCAUAUACUUUGACAAGUUUCUAAAGUUUUUAUAUCCCCCUCCCCUUUUUUUUCCUUAUGUGAUUUUUUUUUGUGCUAUCAGCCAUUUUGGAAAAAAUAGCAUUUUUACAUUUUAUUUAAUUUAUCCUUUCUGGAUUUAUGAAAACUGAAUGAUAACUUUCCUACCUUUUCCUCAUUUUAAGAGUCAAUUCUAAAUAAAGUCUAGUAAACAGAUGUACUAUGUCAUGCAUGGAUUGUGUGACGGUCAGAUGUGCCCAUCUGUUGAUGGGAGAAUGUAUACAGUGCUGUUCGGGAGUGAAGGGAGAACAGGGAGCAGUGGGAGGGGAAAAGAAGUUGCCAGUAGGUGGGGAGGGCUGAGGCUGUGUAAGGAAGGGGAAGGUGUCUGUGGAGGAUUAGGGCUAAGGCCUGGUCCACACCUGAAACUUAGGUUGACCUAGCUAUGUUACUGAGGGAUGU